rnacentral:rRNA from 1 species
UACGAAGGGGGCUAGCGUUGUUCGGAAUUACUGGGCGUAAAGCGCGCGCAGGCGGUUCUUCAAGUCAGUGGUGAAAGCCCGGAGCUCAACUCCGGAACUGCCAUUGAAGCUGUGGAACUUGAGGAUGAGAGAGGUGAGUGGAAUUCCCAGUGUAGAGGUGAAAUUCGUAGAUAUUGGGAAGAACACCGGUGGCGAAGGCGGCUCACUGGCUCAUUUCUGACGCUCAGGCGCGACAGCGUGGGGAUCAAACAGG